GUUCCGGAGAUGGAGCCUGAGAGAUGGCUACAACUUCCACGGAAGGCAGCAGGCGCGCAAAUUACCCAAUCCCAAUACGGGGAGGUAGUGACAUGAAAUACCGAUGCGUGGCCCUAUUGGGUCGCGACGUUGGAAUGAGUACAAUUUAAAUCCCUUAACGAGGAACAAUUGGAGGACAAGUCUGGUGCCAGCACCCGCGGUAAUUCCAGCUCCAAUAGCGUAUAUUAAAGUUGUUGCAGUUAAAAAGCUCGUAGUUGGAUUUCGGAGUUAGUCAAGAUGCUGACCGCUGAAAUGGCGUGUUUGGCGCUUGGCUCUCCUAAUUCUUGGGGAAUCAAGUGGGUGGCGGGUAAAACCGUCAUUCGCUCCCCAUCGUUUACUUUGAGAAAAUUGGAGUGCUCAAAGCAGGCACAACCCUGCCUUGAACAAUGCAGCAUGGGAUAAUAGAACAGGACGAAGGUCCUAUUUUGUUGGUUUCUAGGGCUUUUGUAAUGAUUAAAAGGGACAGUUGGGGGCAUUCGUAUUCAAUUGUCAGAGGUGAAAUUCUAGGAUUAAUUGAAGACGAACUACUGCGAAAGCAUUUGCCAAGGAUGUUUUCAUUAAUCAAGAACGAAAGUUGGGGGAUCGAAGAUGAUCAGAUACCGUCGUAGUCUCAACCAUAAACUAUGCCGACCAAGGAUCCGGGGUUGUUAAUAUGGAUGACUCUCCGGGCACUUAUAGAGAAAUCAUAAGUAUUUGGGCUCCGGGGGGAGUAUGGUCGCAAGGCUGAAACUUAAAGGAAUUGACGGAAGGGCACCACAAGGAGUGGAACCUGCGGUUUAAUUUGACUCAACACGGGGAAACUUACCAGGUCCAGACACAGUGAGGAUUGACAGAUUGAGAGUUCUUUCUUGAUUCUGUGAGUGGUGGUGCAUGGCCGUUUCUAGUUGGUGGAGUGAUUUGUCUGGUUAAUUCCGUUAACGAACGAGACCUUAACCUAUUAAAUAGUUGUUUGAACUUGAUUUUUAUAAAUCAAAUGUUCAAUUAACUUCUUAGAGGGACUCUUCACUGAGAGAGUGAAUGGAAGUUUGAGGCAAAAACAGGUCUGUGAUGCCCUUAGAUGUUCUGGGCCACACGCGCGUUACACUGACAUAUUCAACGAGCAUUAUCCUUGCCCGUCGGGGUUGGGUAAUCUUUUAAAUGUAUGUCGUGCUGGGGAUAGAUCUUUGUAAUUAUAGAUCUUGAACGAGGAAUUCCUAGUAAGUGCGAGUCAUCAACUCGCGCUGAUUACGUCCCUGCCCUUUGUACACACCGCCUGUAUCGUGACUGGGAAAC
rnacentral:rRNA from 1 species